rnacentral:rRNA from 1 species
UACGUAGGGUGCAAGCGUUGUCCGGAAUUAUUGGGCGUAAAGAGCUCGUAGGUGGCGUGUCGCGUCUGCCGUGAAAGCCCAUGGCUUAACUGUGGGUCUGCGGUGGAUACGGGCAGGCUGGAGGCUGGUAGGGGCAAGCGGAAUUCCUGGUGUAGCGGUGAAAUGCGUAGAUAUCGUUUGGAACGCCAAUGGUGAAAACAGACAGCUGGGAGUGUGCUGACGCUGAGACACGAAAGCCAGGGGAGCGAACGGG